GAUGAAGAACGCAGCAAAAUGCGAUAAGUAAUGUGAAUUGCAGAAUUCAGUGAAUCAUCGAAUCUUUGAACGCACAUUGCGCCCGCCAGUAUUCUGGCGGGCAGGCCUGUUCGAGCGUCAUUUCAACCCUCAAGCACAGCUUGGUGUUGGGACUCGCGUUAAUUCGCGUUCCCCAAAUUGAUUGGCGGUCACGUCGAGCUUCCAUAGCGUAGUAGUAAAACCCUCGUUACUGGUAAUCGUCGCGGCCACGCCGUUAAACCCCAACUUCUGAAUGUUGACCUCGGAUCAGGUAGGAAUACCCGCUGAACUUAAGCAUAUCAAUAAGCGGAGGA
rnacentral:misc_RNA from 1 species